AGAGAUGGAGUAAAACAUUGAUCCCAAACUCCAGAACUUUUAAGUGAACUUGAAGCUGGCUUGAGUACUGCUCUCAGAAGAUCAGAUCCUAAUUACACAGGAACAAAAUUCUGGUGAAGAUGAUGUGCGAGCUAUACUUACACCAACAGAUGAAUUUCAGUUCUGGAUAGAAUGUGCUCGUCAUGGAAGUAAAUGGUGUAGUAAAGAGAGAGCUUCAUAUUUUAAAGACCUAUUUGAAGACAUUGCAAAAGAUUAUUACAACUUGGAUACUCUAUCAUUAUUUGAAGCUGUGGAUUUGGUGGAGAGUACCAAGGAUACUGUUGAUGUGUGUGGAGACAAACAGAGCAUGAUCCUUAUCCACAGUCACGCAUGCAUAAUCUCUGGAUGUAAUAGGUGGCUCACUAGGUAGAUAUGUUCAGAGAAAAUUAGCAGCUUGAAUUUGUGGGAGGAUGCUUUUCACAGUGUUAAAGAAAAUAUAAAGGCUGGCAUCUUGAUUUGUGAGCAGUGGGUAUCAGCUUGUGAAUACUUAACUGGACAGCUGUGGCA